AACGCGAAGAACCUUACCCGGGCUUGAAUUGCACUGGACUGUAGUGGAAACAUUACUUUCUUCGGACCAGUGUGAAGGUGCUGCAUGGUUGUCGUCAGCUCGUGCCGUGAGGUGUCGGCUUAAGUGCCAUAACGAGCGCAACCCCUGUUUCCAGUUGCUAGCAGGUUAAGCUGUGGACUCUGGAGAGACUGCCGUCGUAAGAUGCGAGGAAGGCGGGGAUGACGUCAAAUCAGCACGGCCCUUACGUCCGGGGCUACACACGUGUUACAAUGGGGGGUACAGCAGGCCGCUACCUGGCGACAGGAUGCCAAUCCGUAAAGCCCCUCUCAGUUCGGACUGGAGUCUGCAACCCGACUCCACGAAGCUGGAUUCGCUAGUAAUCGCGCAUCAGCCAUGGCGCGGUGAGUACGUUCCCGGGUCUUGUACACACGC
rnacentral:rRNA from 1 species